rnacentral:ncRNA from 1 species
GGAAGUCGGCAAAUUGGAUCCGUAACUUCGGGAAAACGACUGGCUCUGAGGAUCGAGUCAAACAGUCUGGAGUCAGAUACUUGUCGGUCCAGUUAAAGGCUGGUUUCUCUGUUUCCUUGUCUGCCUCUGGUGGAUGAAGUUUGCGGAGUUACUGUACUCUGGCCGGAUCGGUCGUGGGCGACUUCAGCUAACAACGUUGCUUGGCAAGCGGCGUGCACGGGCACCUGUGUGCACAAUGCGGUCUCGCUCACUUCGUUUGGCGCUCAACGGCUAACUCAGAACCGGCACGAACCAGAGGAACCUGACUGUCUUAUUAAAACACAGUAUUGCGAUGUCCACCGAUCGGUUUUGACGCAAUGUGAUUUCUGCCCAGUGCUAUCAAUAUCAAAAUGAAGAAAUUCAAUCAAGAGCGGGAAAACGGCGGGAGUAAAUAAGACUCUCCCAUGCAUUCAUGCGGAUUUGAGUUUGUUGUUGAUACAAGAUCCGGGCGCCAGAAAAAGAGAUCGGUGGAAGAAGUCGAAAAGGAAAUGAGCCCUGUUCCGGUC